UACGUAUGUCGCGAGCGUUAUCCGGAAUUAUUGGGCAUAAAGGGCAUCUAGGCGGCCUUACAAGUCAGGGGUGAAAACCUGCGGCUCAACCGCAGGCCUGCCUUUGAAACUGUUAGGCUGGAGUACCGGAGAGGUGGACGGAACUGCACGAGUAGAGGUGAAAUUCGUAGAUAUGUGCAGGAAUGCCGAUGAUGAAGAUAGUUCACUGGACGGUAACUGACGCUGAAGUGCGAAAGCCGGGGGAGCGAACAGG
rnacentral:rRNA from 1 species